GAGUUUGAUCAUGGCUCAGAUUGAACGCUGGCGGCAGGCCUAACACAUGCAAGUCGAGCGGUAGCACAAGAGAGCUUGCUCUCUGGGUGACGAGCGGCGGACGGGUGAGUAAUGUCUGGGAAACUGCCUGAUGGCGGGGGAUAACUAGUGGAAACGGUAGCUAAUACCGCAUAACGUCGCAAGACCAAAGUGGGGGACCUUCGGGCCUCACGCCAUCAGAUGUGCCCAGGUGGGAUUAGCUGGUAGGUGGGGUAACGGCUCACCUAGGCGACGAUCCCUAGCUGGUCUGAGAGGAUGACCAGCCACACUGGAACUGAGACACGGUCCAGACUCCUACGGGAGGCAGCAGUGGGGAAUAUUGCACAAUGGGCGCAAGCCUGAUGCAGCCAUGCCGCGUGUGUGAAGAAGGCCUUCGGGUUGUAAAGCACUUUCAGCGAGGAGGAAGGGUAAUGUGUUAAU
rnacentral:rRNA from 1 species